rnacentral:tRNA from 1 species
GGGCUAUUAGCUCAGUGGUAGAGCGCGCCCCUUUCAAGUCCAGGAUGGCCCA